rnacentral:rRNA from 1 species
UAUUGCAUUAUUCCAAAAAGCGGAGGAAAAGAAACCAACAGGGAUUGCCUUAGUAACGGCGAGUGAAGCGGCAAAAGCUCAAAUUUGAAAUCGGCCUCCAGGUCGAGUUGUAAUUUGUAGAUUGUAUCUUGAGAGCGGAUUAAAGUCUGUUGGAACACAGCGCCUUAGAGGGUGACAGCCCCGUAAAAUCUAUUCUCAUUGUAAGAUACUUUCGAAGAGUCGAGUUGUUUGGGAAUGCAGCUCUAAGUGGGAGGUAAAUUCCUUCUAAAGCUAAAUAUUGACGAGAGACCGAUAGCGAACAAGUACUGUGAAGGAAAGAUGAAAAGCACUUUGAAAAGAGAGUGAAAAAGUACGUGAAAUUGUUAAAAGGGAAGGGUAUUGAAUCAGACUUGGUGCUGUUGUUCAACUGUGUUUUGGCACAGUGUACUCAGCAGUACUAGGCCAAGGUGGGGUGUUUGGGAGUGAAAAAGAAGUAGGAACGUAACUCUUCGGAGUGUUAUAGCCUACUUUCAUAGCUCCUCAGGCGCCUCAGGACUGCGCUCGGCAAGGACUUGU